AAAAGAAAAGCAGAUUUGAGGCAUAAAGAAGCCUUGAAAGUACAGAAAAAUCAAAAAGAAAUAUUACUGAAACAAAAAACCUGGCAUAUAAAAGCUCGAAAGGAAGCACUGCUUGUGGAAAAAGAGAGAUCAGCCAAAAUUACAAGUCUGCCACCUCCUCCUCCAACUCUUUUUGAGAACAUCGAAGUAAAAAGAAUUUCUGCAGUCAAAACCAAUAGUUCUACCUACCAUCAUCUUCACACUUUUGUGAAUAGAGAGACAGACACAAAACGGGAAAAGUCUGUCCUUAAACUUUGG
rnacentral:lncRNA from 1 species